GCAAGUCGACUGGAAUUCUCUUCGGAGUUAGUACGGUGGCGGACGGGUGAGUAACGCGUAAAGAAUUUGCCCUCUACACUGGGACAACUAACCGAAAGGUUAGCUAAUACCGGAUAUUAUAGACCUUGGCAUCAAGGACCUAUGAAAGCUAUAUGCGCUAGAGGAGAACUUUGCGUCCCAUUAGCUAGAUGGUAGGGUAAUGGCCUACCAAGGCAACGAUGGGUAGCCGGCCUGAGAGGGUGAGC
rnacentral:rRNA from 1 species